rnacentral:rRNA from 1 species
AGAGUUUGAUCCUGGCUCAGAUUGAACGCUGGCGGCAUGCCUUACACAUGCAAGUCGAACGGUAGAGGGGCAACCCUUGAGAGUGGCGAACGGGUGAGUAAUGCAUCGGAACGUGCCCAGUCGUGGGGGAUAACGCAGCGAAAGCUGUGCUAAUACCGCAUGUGAUCUGUGGAUGAAAGCAGGGGACCGCAAGGCCUUGUGCGAUUGGAGCGGCCGAUGUCAGAUUAGCUAGUUGGUAGGGUAAAAGCCUACCAAGGCGACGAUCUGUAGCUGGUCUGAGAGGACGACCAGCCACACUGGGACUGAGACACGGCCCAGACCCCUACGGGAGGCAGCAGUGGGGAAUUUUGGACAAUGGGCGCAAGCCUGAUCCAGCAAUGCCGCGUGCAGGACGAAGGCCUUCGGGUUGUAAACUGCUUUUGUACGGAGCGAAACGGUCUGGGUUAAUACCUUGGGCUAAUGACGGUACCGUAAGAAUAAGCACCGGCUAACUACGUGCCAGCAGCCGCGGUAAUAC